UACAAUCAGACAAAAAAAUACUCUUAAGAA
rnacentral:piRNA from 1 species